CUUCCCAUCGAUUAUUUUCUUUUCUCCCUCCAGCCUCUACACUUCAUCUACAGAAGGGGCAACCCAUCGUGCCCUCCUUCAGAAAUCUUAUCCUGUCUACACUACGGGGCGGUGGCGGCGGCGGAUGGGAUCCCAUCUCCAUGCCAGGUGCUCCUCGGGCAUGACAGCCGAUCUGGCUCACCUCCAUGGCACUCCGGGAUUCGCUGGGAUGGAUCAUCAAGAUGGCAGUGUCCUGAUCUGCCCUCCCACCGUCUAUGUCUUUGUUCCAUCCAAGGGUUAAUAUUGCAGAAAUUUCUUCACUUCCUGCACAUAGAUCAAGAGAAAGGAUGACAAAGACUAGAUAAAGGAAGAGGAGAAGUGGAUAUAUCAACUUAGUAUGAGGCACCAUAGUCAGGCAGCGUCAAUUAUAUUAUUGUACCCCCUUCGAUGUAGGCGAUGCCUACCAUCCAGUGAAGGUAACUCCUAUUCCUCUGCUUUGUUAGCCGGAUGCAUUAAUUUUGCAGGCAUUGCUAAAGAAGCCCUCUAAAGAAAUUACCUUGCAAAAGUGCUCCAAUUUUCUCGUAUGGUAUGCCGUCAAUAAUCUUCUCUAUCAUUCAACAAACCUUCUAUUUGUAAUCUCUGAUGUGUGCUGAAUGUAUCUCUGGAUAAUCGAAAUAUUUUGAUGAUUGAAGGUUACCCUUUUCUGUAUUCAGCGAUCGAGUCUCUAUCAUUCUAAUGUUUUACUCUCGUGAGUUAUUUCAACAUAUAUGCACACCCACGAGUGUUGACAGCUAUAUCCAUGUGAAAAGUCAAAGAAGAUGAUAAAAAUUAGUAUCUAAUGGAAUAAUCUAGCAGUUCCUGGUAGCUGUCCUCUGAAGUGAUAUUUUCCCAAUAUAUAGACGUAAUAACGUCUCCUGCUUUAAUGGUUGUAACAUAUUAGUCUAAUUAUGUUUGCUUUUGCAUCGUAAGAUUCACUUUACUACUAUCUCUCUUCAUUAUCAUAGUUGUUUGACACAAGCUGCAUGCCAUUGUGUUUGUAAGAAGGUAUCCUGACAUCCCAAGCCAUAACUUUUAUAAUAUUAUUUAAAAUAGAAUGCACGGAAUGCAUAAUAUACUCAUGGAAUGCUAUGUUCUGUUGCUGAAUCAAAGUUCAUCACUAUGCUAAGUUUAAAAGCUCUCUCCCUUAGCUGGAAUUGUCUUAUGAAGUUAAAUUGCUCACUACCUUAUUUCAUUUUAAAACUUACUUUUCUCGCUAAUUGUCGUAUAAUAAUUUCCUUCAUUGAAUGUAGUACAUUGAAUAAAUUUAAAGAAUUAUGGUACAACCACCUGAACUGGUAUGCCUCUGUUCUAGCCAUCAUGCAGAUUUACUUGCACACUAUUCUGUUUCUACUUUUCAAGUGCCAGCAUUGUACUCCCUAUUAAUUCAGAUGACUACUCGCUAUUGUGGCUAGAUGAAGAUAAGAAGUGAGAUAUGAUGCAAGUGACUAAGAAUAAGAAUCACCACCUCCCAAGGAAAUAUCCAUUGUCUAUCUGAUUUUUGUUUUUUUAUCUGCUCUUUGUGUGUCAAGACAUUUUGGUUGAGUGGAUGAUUGAGUAGUCACUGGGAGCGGAAACAGUGGCAAAAAUUGAUAUAAGAACACAUACUAUUUGUAGUUCUUCCCAGUUGUGCAUUUUUCAGUUUUAUGAAAUGGUUUUAUUUUAGCUAGGAGAUGACGAGUUAACAAGUAUAUUCAAAUUAUCUAUAUUACAUUUCUCAAACAUAUCCAAUUUUUUUCUUCCUACAAAUCCCGCAGCAAUGCGCGGGGUGUCAUCUAGUAUAAAUAAAGAAUGAGUUCACAACAGUACCAAAAGUGGUGAUUUAUUUUCUUAUACUAACGGAUCUCAUGAGUUUUCUGUUGAGUUUUGUGUUGUGAAGUUUUCAAGUUUUGGGUAAAGAUUUGAUGGACUAUGGAAUAAGGAGUGGAAAGAGCCUAAGCUUGGGUAUGCCCAAGGCACCCCAAGGUAAUAUUCAAGGACAACCAAGGGCCUAAGCUUGGGGAUGCCCUGGAAGGCAUCCCCUCUUUCGUCUUCAAUCCAUCGAAGAAACCCACGAAACUUGAAGUCCAAGUCAGAAGAGUCCCGAGGAGGUGACAAGAUGCCAAGGUGCGCCCUAGGGGGGCACGCCUCCCUCGCUUGUGGCCCACCCGGGAGUCCAUUGACCUCCUUCUCAGCUCUAUAAAUCCUAAAAUGUUUCCAAACCAUCAAAGGCAUCCAUGAAAAUACUUUUCCGCUGCUGCAAGCCUCUGUUCCCGUGAGAUCCCAUCUUGGGACCUUUUUCGGUGAUCUGCCGGAGGGGGAAUCAAUCACGGAGGGCAUCUACAACAACUCUAUUGCUCUUUUGAUGAAGCGUGAGUAGUUUACCUCAGACCUACGUGUCCAUAGCUAGUAGCUAGAUGGCUUCUUCUCUCUCUUUGAUCUUCCAUACAAUGUUCUCCUCGAU